rnacentral:misc_RNA from 1 species
UACGUAGGUGGCAAGCGUUGUCCGGAAUUAUUGGGCGUAAAGCGCGCGCAGGCGGCCUCUUAAGUCUGAUGUGAAAGCCCCCGGCUCGACCGAGGAGGGCCAUUGGAAACUGGGAGGCUUGAGUAUAGGAGAGAAGAGUGGAAUUCCACGUGUAGCGGUGAAAUGCGUAGAGAUGUGGAGGAACACCAGUGGCGAAGGCGACUCUUUGGCCUAUAACUGACGCUGAGAGACGAAGGCCGGGGGAGCGAAAAGG